AUGAACAUCCCUAGUAACCACUAUUGCCAAGGAAUGAAGAGCACCUGCCCUGCAACUGUAGUAAAUGAAAAAAAAAUAAAAUGUCCUCAACUUGACAAAAAUUCAUCCCAGGAAAAUUAAAAAAAACUCCUUUGAAAAAGACUUAUUUAGAAGGCAGUCUUCCUUACUACCCACUAAUGGGGCCCAUGAGGUCCUAGAUCCUGACUCAGUAGUACCAGAUUUGUUGGCACAGUUGAUGCAGAUCCUCUGCAAGACACGUCAGCUAGUACCAAGGAAUCUGAAGAAGGCGAGUUGAAAUCACCUUUGGAAGCUGGCCAGGUCUCAUCUACACUAACUUGCCACCCCUUUGGGGAUGGAUUAGGAGCUGCAGGCUUGGGUUGAACUGCAAAUCAAUGGAUGAAAACAGAACUGGCAUUUCCUCUUGCUGAAUUAAAAGGGAUUUUGACUGUGGAAGUACCAAGUACUUUUAAGAAAACAGAUGAUAUUGUAAUAUCUAAUGUGCCAGCUGCCAACCUGGACCACAAAUUUAGAUGCAAUGUUGUGGACUGUUCAAAAUUUUUUGGCAAAGCUAAAUUGCUGCACUAAGUAUUUCCAUGGGAUGGAGAAGUCACCAGAGCCAGAGGACAGCUCAGGGAAGACACAUGUCCAAACAAUGGACUCUUCAGCUUCUGACAAGGCCAGCCAGGAGAAUGUGACCAGGAAGCCGGUCUCCGCCAGUUACCCAACUGCAAAAGACAAGGAAAAGAAUAAAGAGGAAAAGUUCAAAGAGUUUAUGAGAGUGAAACCAAAGAAGAAGAAGAAAAAGAAAAAGAAAAGGAAAAGGAAAAGACCAGGACCCAAAUCAAACCUCAGUGAGGAGAUCAGUGACACUUCUCUGGAACCACUGCUGUCACCAGGUGUGGGUCCUCACACAAGUCUGUGGUGCAUAUGGGUCUACAGCUCCGAGCUGAAUCUGGCAACCAUAAAGCGAAAUCAAAAGCAUCCGAAGAGGAUAAUUUGAGUGAGUCUUCUUCUGACAGCUUCCUUUGGAGUGACGAGAAGUAUGGUCAAGAUCUUGAUGUGACCACCAACCCACAUGAGGAACUCGAUGGAGAUGACCACUAUGAUUCUGAGGGACUUCAUUGCAUCUGUGAAGUCCAGGAGGAAAAUGAUUUCAUGAUUCAGUGUGAAGAGUGCCAGGGCUGGCAGCAUGGGGUCUGCAUGGGAUUCCUGGAAGAAAAUUGCCUGAGAAAUACACCUAUUAUAUUUGCCAAGACCCACCAGGUCAAAGGCCUGGCUGUAAGUACUGGUAUGACAAGGAGUGUUUGAGCAGAGGACAUGUGCAUGGUGUAGCAUUUCUGGAAGAGGACUACUCCCCUCAGAAUGUGAAGAAGAUUGUGGCCACUCACCAGCUUCUUGGGGACGUGCAGAGAGUGAUUGAAGUUCUGCAUGGCUUACAGCUCAAGAUGAGCGUCUUGUAAAGCAGAGAGCAUCCUGACCUGCAACUGUGGUGCCAACCUUGGAAAUAGCACUCAGGGGAAGAGAGAGCUCAUUCUAAACACCUCUAUGUCAUGGAUGCCAGGAGCAAGGAAGAAGUCCCCAGCUAUAGAACUCUGAAUGGGGCAGUGGAGAAGCCCCUGCCGCUGCCCCAGUCUGUGGAGGAGUUCUACAUCACUAGUGAGCACUGCUAGCAGAAGCCCCAGGCCUACUACCUUGCCAUGGAACAAAAGUUGGUAGAGACAUGUGGCUCUGCCCUGGAUUAUACAGUCAAUUCCCUCCAUGAGAAUGAUGAUUCCCUCUCCCCUUGCCUGGGUUGGCCUUGGGACCAAGACAGCAGCAGAAGGGACAGUUAUCCCAAACCCAGUCCCCUAAAAGUGAGGGACUAUGUCUCCAAAAAGGUCCUACCAGAAGAAGCCCCUGCUCAGAAGCUGCUGGACAGAGGUGGAGAGGGGUUGGUGAGCACCCAACAUCAGAAGUAGUUUAACCUGCUGACACAUAUGGAGUCUCUUCGGAUGAAGUCACACACAGGAUGGACUCCAUUGAGAGGGAACUGGACAUGCUAGAGAGCUGGCUGGACUACACUGGGGAGCUGGAGUCCCCAGAGCCAUUGGCCAGGCUUCCACAGCUCAAGCAUUGCAUCAUGCAGCUGCUGAUGGACCUGGGCAAGGUUCAGCAGAUUGCUCUCUGCUGCUCCACAUGA